GAUCCUGGCUCAGAUUGAACGCUGGCGGCAGGCCUAACACAUGCAAGUCGAGCGGUAGCACAAGAGAGCUUGCUCUCUGGGUGACGAGCGGCGGACGGGUGAGUAAUGUCUGGGAAACUGCCUGAUGGAGGGGGAUAACUACUGGAAACGGUAGCUAAUACCGCAUGACGUCUUCGGACCAAAGUGGGGGACCUUCGGGCCUCACGCCAUCAGAUGUGCCCAGAUGGGAUUAG
rnacentral:rRNA from 1 species